rnacentral:lncRNA from 1 species
GAUCUUUUUUUCACUUCUCUCUCAACAUAUUGCAUCCUUCCCCACUAGAAAGGAAAAUUUCAAUUCAACAAACUUUUAUUCUCUAUUAGCUACUGCUGGGUCCUUUGCCUUUUGAAGAUAAGGAUGCUUUUUUCUUAAGGAUUUCUGUCCCCAGCACCUAGCACCUAGUAUUUCACCUCUUUUUCUUCAGAAUCAUAGCUCAAACCCGAUAAUCAAAAUUCUAUGCCUGUAAUCUCUGCUACUAUAGGUGAGACUGAGGCCAGCAGAUCUCUUGAGCACCAGAUUUCUAUGUUGCAGUGGGCUAAGCUAAUUGGGUAUCCACAUCGUGUUUGACACUAAUAUGGAGAUCCCAGUUUCCUUCCCUCUCAAGCACCAAGACAUCAGUGUACAUGCCCUAGAUUACGUAGGUACAAUUUUAAAUAACAACUUUCUGACAUUUUUCAAUCUGUGUUCUCCUCCAUCCCUGCUCUUUCCCCAAGAUGGAGCUAACAAAGAACCACUGGUGUUUCAGGGAUGGAGAAGAGAGUCAAUUUGA